UACAGAGGUCUCAAGCGUUGUUCGGAUUCAUUGGGCGUAAAGGGUGCGUAGGCGGCGCGGUAAGUCGGGUGUGAAAUCUCCCGGCUCAACCGGGAGGGUGCGCCGAAUACUGAGAGGCUAGAGUGUGGGAGAGGAAAGUGGAAUUCCUGGUGUAGCGGUGAAAUGCGUAGAUAUCAGGAGGAACACCGGUGGUGUAAACGGCUUUCUGG
rnacentral:rRNA from 1 species